CUCUUUGCUGCAAUUUCAGUAUUGUGAUCGCAAAAACGAGUAGAGUCCUGCGGCCAGGUAUUACCCGUUAGUGUCGGUCACAAAAUGAAACUGCAGCAC
rnacentral:pre_miRNA from 1 species